rnacentral:snRNA from 1 species
AUACAUUUUUUUUACACAGGCUAAGAUCAAGUGUAGUAUCUGUUCUUAUCAGUUUAGUAUCUGAUAUGUCCUCUACAUGGGGACAAUAUAUUAAAUGCAUUUUUGGCAUCUGGAGCUGUUAAAUGGGGCUUGCUCUGUUCACUCCACACAUUGACCCGGUAUUGCAGUUUCGCUGGGAACGUGGAGUUUGC